rnacentral:rRNA from 1 species
UACGGAGGGAGCUAGCGUUGUUCGGAAUUACUGGGCGUAAAGCGCGCGUAGGCGGCUUUGUAAGUUAGAGGUGAAAGCCCGGAGCUCAACUCCGGAACUGCCUUUAAGACUGCAUCGCUUGAAUCCAGGAGAGGUGAGUGGGAAUUCCGAGUGUAGAGGUGAAAUUCGUAGAUAUUCGGGAAGAACACCAGUGGCGAAGCGGCUGCACUGGA